CUCAAAUCAAGCAAGGCGACCCGCUGAAUUUAAGCAUAUCAAUAAGCGGA
rnacentral:rRNA from 1 species